rnacentral:lncRNA from 1 species
UACCCCAUGUUUUUUAGUACUUAAUUUGGAGUUGACAACUAUUUUAUUUUAUUAGUUACAGAGCCCUAAAUGCAAGUUUAGGGGAAAAGUAUUUUUAUACAUUUUAUUUUGAAGGGAAUACAACCUCAAUAGUAAGAUCAUGUGAAGAUAUGAUUUUACAAAAAAAAUGGAUUUAUUUGGUUGGAUUUGGAGUUCUAAAUCAAAAGUUAUAAACAAAAAAAGAAAAGAAAAAGGAAAAAAAAGAAUCAGACUGACCCAACUGGGCCGGCCCACUACCCGCCGAGCGCUGAGCCAGCCCAGCUCCGCGCGCGCCCGAGCCGCAGCUGCUGCCAGGCGGGCCCCGCCUGUCAGCCGUCGUCAUCGUCUUCAACGGCCAGGCCGAUUUCCCCGCGCGCGACGCUGAGUCCGUGACGCCCACGAACUCCCCUCCGAUUCUUCAGCGCCGCAAGCUUAUCCCCGAGACGUCCGCGUCACUAUAAAUCCCCGACCCCCUCUCUCUUUACCCCAUGCUCUCUCACUAAAUCUCGUGCCCACGCUGCCGAAAUCUCUCGUCGGAUUUUGCAUCUGCCGCCGCCGACAAGCCACAAGGUCAGAGCCGCCGCCGCUUGCACCUUUUCUUUCCACUCUUCUGUGCACAUCUUUUGAUGCUACCUAUUUUAUUUUUGAAGCACCGCGUCGCCAGAUCGUCGUUAAGUCGAAGCUCGCCGCCGCUGACGAUCGUCCCAAGGAGCUAGCCCCAAAUUCCGUCCACCCCGAGGAGAACAGCCGCCGCCAUCUCCUUUGUCUCAUCACGCCGCCCCACUUUGACCGUUUUCCCGAGCCCGAGAACCCACCGGAGCGCCUCGCCGCCGAGUUCCCAAGCCGCCGCCGCCGCCUCACCUCGCCGGAGUCCUAGCAGCCGCCGGUAAGCCCCGGUUCAAUCUUGUCCGUCCGAUUUGAUUCAACGGCUAGGAUUAGAUCACUUAAGACCCGAACCGGUAUCAACCAAUUAGAAAACGACACGUGUCAGCCUAUUUUAAUAAAACAUAUCACCGGCC